GAAGAUGAUCAUCUGCAAGCCAGAAAGAGGGCCCUCAUCAAGAACUGAAUCUGCCAGCACCUUGGUCUUAGACUUUCCAUCUUCCAGCACUGUGAGAAAUAAAUGUCUGUUGUUUAAGCCACUCAGUCUGGUAUUUUAUUAUAGCAGCCUGAGCUUACUAAGAUAUAUGUAUCUAUCCUUUUGCUGGCACCUCCUGUUCAUUUUGGGAAAGACUUUUUUUCACCUGCUGAAUUAUAUUCUUCUGUGACUAUUCUCUUUAUUGCAGUUGCUUGUUUUCAAUUCACCACAAAUGGG
rnacentral:lncRNA from 1 species